CAAGAUGAGAUCUCACUGGAGCCUUGAGCUCCCUGAAGGGCCGUCGAAGACUACGACGUUGAUAGGUGGGGUGUGUAAGCGCUGUGAGGCGUUGAGCUAACCCAUACUAAUUGCCCGUGAGGCUUGACCAUAUAACACCCAAACAAUU
rnacentral:rRNA from 1 species